ensembl:lncRNA
CCUGUCUGUUCCUCUCCUCUGUUGUAAUUGCACAGUCACUGAGGCCCAGCUGUGCUUUGGGCAGUCCUGGGAGCUGCAAAUAUAUCCGGCGAACAAGACUGAGUCUCACUUGACUGACGUCUGUCAUUGAAGAGGCUGUUCUAACUGGGGACAACAGGAAGCCAACCAACCACGGCCACCAGCACCACCCCCUGGAGAACCUCAAGCCUCGAGGGAUAAAUACACAAUGGAAAUAAAGCAAGGCGAGAACCAUCGAGCGUGCCAGGGGAGCGACUUUAAAGGGAUGAUAUUGAAGGACCUCUCUGAGGAUGUGUGGUGAACAGCAAGAAGGGCCUGCCGUGCACAAAAAUCUAGGAAAAGAACAUUCUAGGAGAAGAGACCUGCCAGCGGAGAGGCCCUAAGACAAGACUGAGCUUAGCUGGAGGAAUGGCGAGAGGCCCCGGUGGCAGGGAUGAGGAACUUUAUAAUAGAGGUCUUUUAUUGCCAUUCAAGAGCUGUAGCAACCAAGGCACAGAGAUGUUGAGCAAGUUGUCCGAGGUCACAGAGAGGCCGGGUGGCAAAGCAGGAAUGGAAUUGAUCCUCCAUCUUCAAGAGUUGAUGCGUAGGAGCUUGGCCUGAAUUUUAACCACGGAAGCAUGAAAAGUGGCGGAUACCCCACUUUGGGACAUGAACAGGAAGUUUGAGAAGUGACAGGCCACAGGCACAGGCCAGCCCUGCUGAGAAAUCGCCAUCAGGAGCAAACCACAUGUCCUGUGAACUCGGGGACCUGCCAGCAAAAUUCCCUGAUGCUGGAACUUCGGGCAGAGAGCGCCGGUCUUGCGCUGAUUGGCGUCAGGAGCCAAGUGUGGUGGGGGAGGGGAGUCAGCACAUAUUUCUCCGCUGAACUCCGUUUCCCAUUUGGUUUGGCAGCUUGUUUUUCAUGAAAUGAGGCCAAUCCACGAAUUCCGUGUCAACAUCGCUCCUUUUACUGGAACCGCAAAGGCAGCCCCCCGGGACUGGCUCCAUCUCUGGGCAGACAUCAAAACAACCCCUUUUCGCUUUGAAAGCAUAGCAGGCGUCUCAGAGCCCCCCACUUCCUUACCUGUGUUUCCCUCUGAGGAAGAAAGCAAGGACCAGGGCCGUGGCUGCAGUGCCCCGAGCUCACUGUUGGCACAGCAGCCCUGGGCUGGCCACGCUGAGGGUUCUCCUGGCCCUGCUGCCUGUCUUCCCUUUCUUGUGCGUCCAAGGCCCGGAGGCUCCUUCCUGCCUGCUUGUCUCGCUUCCAGGACUAGCUUGAUGAGUAGGCAUGGCCUCCCCAGCCCCUCAGCUGUCACCCUGCCACAGCUGCCCUCCUGCUGCGACCUCAGGGGGUUGCAGAAGGUGCUGUGGCAUCCAAAAUCCACUCCCCAUCAGGGACUAGAGCCGAACUUCCGAGGCCUCCAGGGCUCCUCUGCUCUGGGGAGGGGGCCUCCUCUUAGCUGCUCCAACACCUGCUGCCCAGCGGGGUGGGGCCGGUGUGCAGGUAGGAGCAAGCAGGCACAUUUGGGAAGGAGAAUAAUAGUGGGUAGUGAGUAGCGGACAGUCAGAAGUGGCUUUAUUGGCAACUGGUACGUACUGAUGGGCACGUCAGCAGCAAGGUUCACUGCAUACGAGGUUGUCUGCAUGAGAGAGGAGGUGGGAGAAAGGCUGUCCUGGGGCAUGGGGUGACCUGGCUCCAGGUCACCUUUCUCUAGGAAGGUCCUGCUCUGUGUCCUCUCGACACCCUGUGCUUCUCUUGUGGCUGCAGCCCCUGUCACGGCCUCUGCACGCUCCUGUCUUCCCAGCUGCUGUCUUCCUCCCCAUCUCCUCCCAGGACCCAGCACCCUUGCGCAUAUGGUGAGGUCAGCGACCCCCUCCACUGUGUCAAGUGAGUGAAUGACUACUGGCUGCUCCUUGCAGUGCUGGGGAGACGAUGCAAGGGGCGGUGGGGUUGUCACGGCUCUAUCCCAAGGGGAGGUCCUGAGGCACCAACAGCGUAGCAGUUUUGCAGUGUGCCCGGAGUGUGAGUCUGGGCUCCAUGACUUACUAGCUGUGUGCUGGACAAGCUGUUUAUCUUUCUGUGCCUCAGUUUCUUCAUGUAUAAAAUAGAGAUAAUAAUACCUACCUAAUUUUUUUUGUGAGAAAUAAAUGAGUUAAUAUAUUUAAACUCCUUAAACAAAAAGUCUGAUAUUUUGUAAGCUCUUAAUAAAUGUCAGCUUAAGAAAUUUUUUUAAAACCC